AUAUUCGAAAUACUGUGCCUAACAGUUGUUUAAGACAGUAACCCUCUGUUGAGUUGAGAGUUGAAAUAUAUAUCGAAAAUUCAAAUCACAAAAUCUUAUCGAUUACUGUCGAUGUUUGGUUGAUUGACACACUUUGCUUAAUAUUGAGCUUGAACUGUGUGACUUUCAAAUCAACUUUGCCCGUUUUUCUGUCCCACAGUCAAACUGAAAAUCAUACGACUAAGCGCUCGAAAUCAUUUCUAAAUCCUUAAAGAACGAAAGUAAACAAACUUUUUUAAAACAAUAUUAUUUUUGAAUAACAUGCACAAAUCAACAGCAGAUACUUGCGUUUGCUUACCGAAAAGGCACACUUGAAAAGAAACUUAUGACUCAAGCAACGGGCGAACAACUCGAAACAACUGAAAAAGUAAACAAAAGCAAAUGCAAUGCUAAGAACCCGUUGGUAGGGUCACAAGGAGACGUUAAAAAACUUAACCCAGUUUUUCGGGCAAAUAUUUAUAAAUAAAUAGAAAAGGAGAACUCAAGUUAGGAAAAUGACACGAGGAAGAAGAGCGGUUAAGGCUAAGGGACUGCCUUUACAAACUAGCUUAAAAUUGUGCUUUUUGCGCAAUGAAACGCCUGUUUUAUGACACUGUUGCUGCGAGAAAUCAGCCAGCAAACGCCUCUUCACAUUCGCGAAAAACAAAACGCUGGUUGGCUACGGUUGGCUGAAUUACGCGUUGACUGCAGGCUGGCGGCCUCGUUUCGCCACUUUCAAGGAUCUGAAGGAUUUUUCAUGUGGGCUAUGCGCGUUGGCGGCGUGCUUCAAGGCAAUGGACUGUUAACUGCAGUGACCUUGUGCGCAUUGUGGAAGAGCCGCAAAAAUUUGCUGCUAUUGAUGCUAAGUAAAGAUGGUAAAGUUGCUUACUUUGUUUGCGCGCGGCUUUUGUUUGAAAAGCGCUUAAAACUCAGUUCAUGGCUUUUAAAAAAUAAUCAAAAUUAAAAGGAAAGCACAAACCGUAGCACAAUUAGCAAAAGCUCCAGAAAUACUCAAACAAAAUCUACAAUUGAAUCUAUCGAUAAACGACAAUUUGAUUGAUUAGGUGGAGUUCAUACUGCUUAUGGUAAAUAAUAGCAAGCUUACACUGGAAAAUUUACUACGGAAACUAAAUUUAAGUGCAACAAAAAUGCAAGUUUAUAGAAAAUUUUAAAAUGUUUUAUUUAAAAAAUUUAGUAAAUACAUUAAAAUUUA